AUGCUGUGAUCACAGUUACAAAACAAGAACACAUUUCUGUGAAUUAAAGGAAUUUACAGCUAAGUAAUGCACCUUUGUUUUAAAAUCUUACAUCAUGUAAACAAAAUACUAUGCAAUAAAAUGGAAGUAAUUUUUCAAAAAAAAUUUGUAUACAAACUAUUUCAACUUACACAUACACUAAAAAUGAGUUAAAAAUAAACCUACUGAUAGUAUUAAUCACUGAUUUUUCUUCUUUCACAGUUAAUCACUUCUAUUUUGAACCAACUGAGGGGUUUUGUUGGGAAAUAAUUCCAUUGCUAUGAUGCCAGAAGUUAUACACGAUGGUGCUGAAUAUUUACAGAUAUCAGAAGAUUAUAUGGUUCUAGCUUAUCUACAAAUGAUAGUUUUAUCAUUUUGUACACUCUAUAAAAGUUUCAGUGAAAACUCCAAAAUCCACAAAAAAUUCAUGAUCUACAGACCAGUCAUUUGCUUUAGUUUUACUUAAAAUAAAAUUUUAAUAUAACCCAGUGUCUAUUUGUUUAAAUGUAUCAAAACUAUUAAACAUAAAUAAAUGCCAUUUUUCAUAAAGUUGCUCACAUUUUCCUGAGAGCUUCUGUAAGUAGUGUCAAGUUGAAAGAGUUCUAUUUCGUGCCAUGAAGAGAAAUUUCUCCUUGCAAAACAGGAAAAGUCAAAGCCCUUUCCUGCUGAGGCAAGGUCUGCAGCCUCCCACCCCAGAGGAGAUCAUCCUUAUCAAGUGUAAGUCCCUUAUGACAUGGCCUAGGGCACAGGGUUUAUGGAUUUUAAACAAUUAUUACAUGACUUCCAACAAGUUCAAGGUAUCCUGAAAUCACAUGUGUAAAUGUUUCUUAGCAAAACUUUAAGGUGGACUAAGAAGGAAAGGCCUCCUGUCAGUUCCAUUCAGAUUUACCAACAAGAAAGUUCUAAUAAUAAAUCAAUAAAAAUCAAAACAAAACAAAAAAUCAUUUGUUUAGCCUUAACCCUAGCUCUGUUCUUGAGCUACAGAGUAAACCUAACACCUUUCUCACACAUCUGAAGAAAAGCACUGUGUCUUUUUCCCUUGGCCUCCUCUCCUUCAGAUGCCCCAUCUCUAUUCCAUCUGGAAUGAAGGAGGUGUGACAGCUCCUACUUGGUGUGACAGCUCCUACUUAGGUUGACAGGAGUUGAUAUCAUGAAACUUCCCAAUGGCUUUCUUUGGCCAGGAUGUGCCACACAGGUCCACUGGGACAAUGUAGUGUUAUUUUUCUUUCCUCUUCCUUGCUUCCAAGAGACAGACACUGGUACACCAACCUUCUGCUUUCCUGAUUUAGAACGUUAACCAUGCAUCUCAAAAAAACUUACUUCAACCUUAACACUCCCUAACAAAAACAAGGUCAGUCCAAGGACCUCUCUCAGACCCUGCCUGACUUCAAUUCCUUUCUAUUCCUUUCUACAUCCAUUUUUAAUCAAUUUGUGACACACGGUACUUAGAGUAAAAUUUCCACACAUUACUAAUUCCUUGGAGAGAUUAUUUUAAGUUUAGGACUUCUGAAAAUGAGAA